rnacentral:rRNA from 1 species
UACAGAGGAUGCAAGCGUUGUUCGGAAUUACUGGGCGUAAAGGGCGUGUAGGCGGCCAACUAAGUCCGACGUGAAAUCCCCAGGCUUAACCUGGGAACUGCGUCGGAUACUGGAUGGCUUGAAUCCGGGAGAGGGAUGCAGAAUUCCUGGUGUAGCGGUGAAAUGCGCAGAUAUCAGGAGGAACACCAGUGGCGAAGGCGGUUCUCUGGGCAUUACCUGACGCUGAGGAGCGAAAGUGUGGGGAGCGAACAGG